CCUACGGGUGGCAGCAGUGAGGAAUAUUGGUCAAUGGACGAGAGUCUGAACCAGCCAAGUAGCGUGAAGGAUGACUGCCCUAUGGGUUGUAAACUUCUUUUAUAUGGGAAUAAAACGUUCCACGUGUGGGCUUUUGUAUGUACCAUAUGAAUAAGGAUCGGCUAACUCCGUGCCAGCAGCCGCGGUAAUACGGAGGAUCCGAGCGUUAUCCGGAUUUAUUGGGUUUAAAGGGAGCGUAGGUGGAUUGUUAAGUCAGUUGUGAAAGUUUGCGGCUCAACCGUAAAAGUGCAGUUGAAACUGGCAGUCUUGAGUACAGUAGAGGUGGGCGGAAUUCGUGGUGUAGCGGUGAAAUGCUUAGAUAUCACGAAGAACUCCGAUUGCGAAGGCAGCUCACUGGAGUGCAACUGACACUGAGGCUCGAAAGUGUGGGUAUCAAACAGGAUUAGAUACCCGUGUAGUC
rnacentral:rRNA from 1 species